ACUCUGAGCUGGCUGGCCACAAUGUUGAUUUGGAGUUAUCUACAAUAUGGUGUUACAAGAUCGUCCAUGAGAAGGGCAGCAUCAGUGCCACAUGUGAUCCAUCAGUUCUAUGCACAAAGACAGGAAAAUCUGCCCCAGGUAAAGGAGGAUGCCGUAAUAUGGUACAGGAUCUCAAGACCUGGGCCUGCGAUUGGCUCCAUACUGAAUACUCAGUACUUCAAGGGGACAAGGAGAAAGUAUUAAUGAGUCAGUCUGGUCUUUGCUUCUAAGUGACUGAUAACUGAGCAGCAUUGGCAGAGAUUCAGCUGCAUCUUACUGGGAGAAAACGUUAAUAAUUGCAAGCUUGUGUUCAGUGAAAGUCACUGAAUAUUAACUGCAACCUUCUUGGUGACCUGAACAAAAAUGUAGCAAAAAAACAAUGAAAAACAUGAUUCUAUCUGCUCACCAGAAUGUAUGGCAAUAAAAAGACAACUGUUCAGGUCAUUGAAGCCCAAAAACACUGCUGACUGAGCUAGCCCCAUCUGUUCAUGUAUUGCUGCUUGUAGAUACAGCAAAGAUUUCACUGGACCCAAUCAAAACCCAUACUUUUGGUAGCUAUAUUUGGAUAUUACAUUGUGCAUAGCCAUGGCUGCAGUUAGCAACUAAUGUUUCUACAGAUAUCACCAAAUCCAAUGCUCCCUCCCACAGUUCUGGGACUUGAGCUCUAACAAUCUGCAUAAUUUUGGGAUUGCUGAUAAUGCCAGUAUGAAACUGAGUAAUGCUUUGCAUCUCUCCAGUUGAUCUGCCUGUUGUUGAAAUGAUGCUGACCAAAUCUGAAUUGUAUGCUUUUCUGCCUAAUGUAUCUGAUUUUAUUUUAUGCACCAUACAAUCUACCCUGUGUUGUGAAAUCCCAAGAGCAA